rnacentral:rRNA from 1 species
AACGAACGCUGGCGGCAUGCCUAACACAUGCAAGUCGAACGGGAUCCUGGUUUCGGCCAGGUGAGAGUGGCGGACGGGUGAGUAACGCGUGGGAACCUGCCCAGUGGUGGGGGAUAACUGCGGGAAACUGCAGCUAAUACCGCAUGAGCCCGAAAGGGGAAAGAUUGAUCGCCAUUGGAGGGGCCCGCGUUCGAUUAGGUAGUUGGUGAGGUAACGGCUCACCAAGCCUUCGAUCGAUAGCUGGUCUGAGAGGAUGAUCAGCCACACUGGGACUGAGAUACGGCCCAGACUCCUACGGGAGGCAGCAGUGGGGAAUAUUGGACAAUGGGGGCAACCCUGAUCCAGCAAUGCCGCGUGAGUGAUGAAGGCCUUCGGUUGU